rnacentral:rRNA from 1 species
UACGUAGGUGACAAGCGUUAUCCGGAUUUAUUGGGCGUAAAGCGCACGCAGGCGGUCUAUCAAGUCUGACGUGAAAUCUCUCGGCUUAACCGGGAGCGGUCGUUGGAAACUGAAGGACUUGAGGCGAUGAGAGGGGUGUGGAAUUCCUGGUGUAGCGGUGAAAUGCGCAGAUAUCAGGAGGAACACCGAUGGCGAAGGCAGGUCUCUGGGCAUUAACUGACGCUGAGGAGCGAAAGCAUGGGGAGCGAACAGG